rnacentral:rRNA from 1 species
GAUCCUGGCUCAGGAUGAACGCUAGCUACAGGCUUAACACAUGCAAGUCGAGGGGCAGCAUGGUCUUAGCUUGCUAAGGCCGAUGGCGACCGGCGCACGGGUGAGUAACACGUAUCCAACCUGCCGUCUACUCUUGGGACAGCCUUCUGAAAAGGAAGAUUAACUACAAGAUGGCAUCAUGAGUCCGCAUGUUCACAUGAUUAAAGGUAUUCCGGUAGACGAUGGGGA